rnacentral:misc_RNA from 1 species
UCAACCAUCAAGCUCUGCUUAGUACUGGGCGUCGUCCCGCGUGGACGUGCCUUAAACGCCUCGGCGGUGGUCUCAAACUUCAAGCGUAGUAGAAUACCUUUAUUUAGCUUUCUAGGUUUGGGGCCGCUUUUGCCUCUAGCAACCAUUUUACCUCAA